GUGGGGAAUCUUAGACAAUGGGCGCAAGCCUGAUCUAGCCAUGCCGCGUGAGCGAUGAAGGCCUUAGGGUUGUAAAGCUCUUUCAGGGGGGAAGAUAAUGACGGUACCCCCAGAAGAAGCCCCGGCUAACUCCGUGCCAGCAGCCGCGGUAAUACGGAGGGGGCUAGCGUUGUUCGGAAUUACUGGGCGUAAAGCGCACGUAGGCGGACCAGAAAGUCAGGGGUGAAAUCCCGGGGCUCAACCCCGGAACUGCCUUUGAAACUCCUGGUCUUGAGGUCGAGAGAGGUGAGUGGAAUUCCAAGUGUAGAGGUGAAAUUCGUAGAUAUUCGGAGGAACACCAGUGGCGAAGGCGGCUCACUGGCUCGAUACUGACGCUGAGGUGCGAAAGCGUGGGGAGCAAACAGGAUUAGAAACCCUGGUAGUCC
rnacentral:rRNA from 1 species